ACUCCUACGGGAGGCAGCAGUAGGGAAUUUUCCACAAUGGGCGAAAGCCUGAUGGAGCAACGCCGCGUGCAGGAUGAAAGCCCUCGGGUCGUAAACUGCUUUUAUGUGUGAAGAAUAUGACGGUAACGCAUGAAUAAGGAUCGGCUAACUACGUGCCAGCAGCCGCGGUAAU
rnacentral:rRNA from 1 species